GUGUCAGCAGCCGCGGUAAUACCAGCUCUCCGAGUUGUGGGGACGUUUAUUGAGCCUGAAGCAUCCGUAGCCGGCUGUGCAAGUCCCCUGUUAAAUCCAGCGACUAAUCGUUGGCCUGCGGGGGAUACUGCUCGGCUAGGGGGCGGGAGAGGCCGUCGGUAUUCUUGGGGUAGGGGUGAAAUCCUAUAAUCCCAGGAGGACCACCAGUGGCGAAGGCUGUCGGCUAGAACGCGCCCGACGGUGAGGGAGGAAAGCUGGGGGAGCGAACCGGAUUAGAUACCCGGGUAGUCCCAGCUGUAAACGAUGCAGGCUAGGUGUUAGGGCGGCUACGUGCCGCUCUAGUGCCGCAGGGAAGCUGUUAAGCCUGCCGCUUGGGGAGUACGGCCGCAAGGCUGAAACUCAAAGGAAUUGACGGGG
rnacentral:rRNA from 1 species